UACAGAGGGUGCAAGCGUUAAUCGGAUUUACUGGGCGUAAAGGGCGCGUAGGUGGUUACGUAAGUGAGAUGUGAAAUCCCCGGGCUUAACCUGGGAACUGCAUCUUAUACUGCGUAGCUGGAGUGCAGUAGAGGGUAGUGGAAUUUCCGGUGUAGCGGUGAAAUGCGUAGAUAUCGGAAGGAACACCAGUGGCGAAGGCGGCUACCUGGACUGAGACUGACACUGAGGCGCGAAAGCGUGGGGAGCAAACAGG
rnacentral:rRNA from 1 species